GACGAACGCUGGCGGCGUGCCUAAUACAUGCAAGUAGGACGCAGUUGCGAACGGGUGAGUAACGCGUAGGUAACUACCUAUUAGAGGGGGAUAACUAUUGGAAACGAUAGCUAAUAACGCAUACUAGUAGAUGGAGCUGCGUUGUAUUUGCUAGUAGGUAGGGUAAUGGCCUACCUAGGCAACGAUGCAUAGCCGACCUGAGAGGGUGAUCGGCCCCACUGGGACUGGGACACGGCCCAAACUGCUCCGGGAGGGAGCAGUAGGGAAUCUUCGGCAAUGGGGGGAACCCCGACCGAGCAACGCCGCGUGAGUGAAGAAGGUUUUCGGAUCGUAAAGCUCUGUUGUUAAGGAAGCGGUACUUAACCAGAAAGGGACGGCUAACUACGUGCCAGCAGCCGCGGUAAUAC
rnacentral:rRNA from 1 species